GAUGAAGAACGCAGCAAAAUGCGAUAAGUAAUGUGAAUUGCAGAAUUCAGUGAAUCAUCGAAUCUUUGAACGCACAUUGCGCCCGCUGGUAUUCCGGCGGGCAUGCCUGUUCGAGCGUCAUUUCAACCCUCAAGCCCCCGGGUUUGGUGUUGGGGAUCGGCUCUGCCCUUCUGGGCGGUGCCGCCCCCGAAAUACAUUGGCGGUCUCGCUGCAGCCUCCAUUGCGUAGUAGCUAACACCUCGCAACUGGAACGCGGCGCGGCCAUGCCGUAAAACCCCAACUUCUGAAUGUUGACCUCGGAUCAGGUAGGAAUACCCGCUGAACUUAAGCAUAUCAAUAAGCGGACGA
rnacentral:misc_RNA from 1 species